ACUCCUACGGGAGGCAGCAGUGGGGAAUAUUGGACAAUGGGCGAAAGCCUGAUCCAGCCAUGCCGCGUGUGUGAAGAAGGCCCUCGGGUUGUAAAGCACUUUCAGCGAGGAAGAACGCCUAGUGGUUAAUACCCAUUAGGAAAGACAUCACUCGCAGAAGAAGCACCGGCUAACUCCGUGCCAGCAGCCGCGGUAAUACGGAGGGUGCAAGCGUUAAUCGGAAUUACUGGGCGUAAAGCGCGCGUAGGCGGACAUUUAAGUCAGGGGUGAAAUCCCGGGGCUCAACCCCCGGAACUGCCCUUGAUACUGGGUGUCUUGAGUUCGAGAGAGGUGAGUGGAAUUCCGAGUGUAGAGGUGAAAUUCGUAGAUAUUCGGAGGAACACCAGUGGCGAAGGCGGCUCACUGGCUCGAUACUGACGCUGAGGUGCGAAAGUGUGGGGAGCAAACAGGAUUAGAUACCCUGGUAGGCGU
rnacentral:rRNA from 1 species